rnacentral:rRNA from 1 species
GUCGAACGAUGAACCUCGCUUGCGGGGGGAUUAGUGGCGAACGGGUGAGUAACACGUGAGUAACCUGCCCUUAACUCUGGGAUAAGCCUUGGAAACGAGGUCUAAUACUGGAUAUUGACUUUACCUCGCAUGGGGUUUUGUUGAAAGAUUUAUUGGUUUUGGAUGGACUCGCGGCCUAUCAGCUUGUUGGUGAGGUAAUGGCUCACCAAGGCGACGACGGGUAGCCGGCCUGAGAGGGUGACCGGCCACACUGGGACUGAGACACGGCCCAGACUCCUACGGGAGGCAGCAGUGGGGAAUAUUGCACAAUGGGCGAAAGCCUGAUGCAGCGACGCCGCGUGAGGGAUGACGGCCUUCGGGUUGUAAACCUCUUUCAGUAGGGAACAAGGCCAGCAUUUUUGUUGGUUGAGGGUACUUGCAGAAGAAGCGCCGGCUAACUACGUGCCAGCAGCCGCGGUAAUACGUAGGGCGCAAGCGUUAUCCGGAAUUAUUGGGCGUAAAGAGCUCGUAGGCGGUUUGUCGCGUCUGCCGUGAAAGUCCGGGGCUCAACCCCGGAUCUGCGGUGGGUACGGGCAGACUAGAGUGAUGUAGGGGAGACUGGAAUUCCUGGUGUAGCGGUGAAAUGCGCAGAUAUCAGGAGGAACACCGAUGGCGAAGGCAGGUCUCUGGGCAUUAACUGACGCUGAGGAGCGAAAGCAUGGGGAGCGAACAGGAUUAGAUACCCUGGUAGUCCAUGCCGUAAACGUUGGGCACUAGGUGUGGGGGACAUUCCACGUUUUCCGCGCCGUAGCUAACGCAUUAAGUGCCCCGCCUGGGGAGUACGGCCGCAAGGCUAAAACUCAAAGGAAUUGACGGGGGCCCGCACAAGCGGCGGAGCAUGCGGAUUAAUUCGAUGCAACGCGAAGAACCUUACCAAGGCUUGACAUGAACCGGAAAUACCUGGAAACAGGUGCCCCGCUUGCGGUCGGUUUACAGGUGGUGCAUGGUUGUCGUCAGCUCGUGUCGUGAGAUGUUGGGUUAAGUCCCGCAACGAGCGCAACCCUCGUUC